rnacentral:rRNA from 1 species
GAUGAACGCUGGCGGCGUGCCUAAUACAUGCAAGUCGAGCGAACAGACGAGGAGCUUGCUCCUCUGACGUUAGCGGCGGACGGGUGAGUAACACGUGGAUAACCUACCUAUAAGACUGGGAUAACUUCGGGAAACCGGCGCUAAUACCGGAUAAUAUAUUGAACCGCAUGGUUCAAUAGUGAAAGACGGUUUUGCUGUCACUUAUAGAUGGAUCCGCGCCGCAUUAGCUAGUUGGUAAGGUAACGGCUUACCAAGGCAACGAUGCGUAGCCGACCUGAGAGGGUGAUCGGCCACACGAGAACUGAGACGCGGUCCAGACUCCUAAGGGAGGCAGCAGUAGGGAAUCUUCCGCAAUGGGCGAAAGCCUGACGGAGCAACGCCGCGUGAGUGAUGAAGGUCUUCGGAUCGUAAAACUCUGUUAUUAGGGAAGAACAAAUGUGUAAGUAACUAUGCACGUCUUGACGGUACCUAAUCAGAAAGCAACGGCUAACUACGUG